rnacentral:rRNA from 1 species
AGUGAACGCUGGCGGUAGGCCUAACACAUGCAAGUCGAACGGCAGCACAGGAGAGCUUGCUCUCUGGGUGGCGAGUGGCGGACGGGUGAGGAAUACAUCGGAAUCUACUCUGUCGUGGGGGAUAACGUAGGGAAACUUACGCUAAUACCGCGUACGACCUACGGGUGAGAGCAGGGGACCUUCGGGCCUUGCGCGAUUGAAUGAGCCGAUGUCGGAUUAGCUAGUUGGCGGGGUAAAGGCCCACCAAGGCGACGAUCCGUAGCUGGUCUGAGAGGAUGAUCAGCCACACUGGAACUGAGACACGGUCCAGACUCCUACGGGAGGCAGCAGUGGGGAAUAUUGGACAAUGGGCGCAAGCCUGAUCCAGCCAUACCGCGUGGGUGAAGAAGGCCUUCGGGUUGUAAAGCCCUUUUGUUGGGAAAGAAAUCCAGCUGGCUAAUACCCGGUUGGGAUGACGGUACCCAAAGAAUAAGCACCGGCUAACUUCGUGCCAGCAGCCGCAGUAA